ACCCCAGGGUGCACCCUGGACGAUGAGGCGGGGCGACACUUCUUGGCGGAGCGACACGUGUCGUGCCGCCCAUAUUUGUUCCCCCCGCCUUUGGGAUUUUCUUCCGACCCAGCAGGGGGCAGUUAGCGUUGAAACGGUGGCAACUGCGGCAGCAGAGUAAUAAUAACCAAGUUGAUUGCAUGAGGUGAAAGCAAAGAGUUAUUUGGUAGAAGUGUUAAGAAAAAGUGGAAGCAACGGUAAAAUAAAUUUUUUAUUAGUAAAAUGAGAUGGAAAAAUGUCAAAUGAACGAAUUUUAUUUGUUUUAUUUAAAAUGAUAGAUUUGAACUGUUGCCUAAGAAUCAUAAAGCACAUCGCUUUCUGCAUGGAUGUCAAUGUGUUGCUAAUUCCUACGUGAUAGUGACCUGGCUUUCACUACAUUCUUGUUUUUCUGGGUUGUCUUUUUUGAAACAUUGAAAAACUCAUCGACAGCAGAAAUUGGAUAGAGAAAACUGCCAAUACAUUUGAAGUGAAAUAUUUUAUAUACAUGCUAACAAAAGGAAUCCCGAAGCAGAUGGGUGGGAACCACUUUGGGAUUAUCAUACUAAUGAAUGAUGCCUCUGAUUAGUAGGUGGUGGUGUUCUGUUCUCCUGGACAAUCACUCAACCACUGAGGGGGGUCUUCACUAUUCAAAAGGCAAUGUCUUCAGGCAGAGUCCAGUGAAGCAGGUGACUCUGCGUAUUUGACACUUUCUCUGGGAUGCAGAUGGUUUAUGGAUGUGGUCACUCAAGAUGUUUUUCAGAAAGCAGUGCAACACUUUACAUGGCCAGACGACUUUAAGGUGUGGCCAUCUGGAAGAAUUUCAGUCCUGUCUACUGGACAGAGUUUAGAUUGUGUACAGUGUCAGGGAAUGCUUGCAGUGCAGAGCCCUUUUCAAGUCAUACCCACCAGGGUUUAGGGGAAGAGGCCGACGUGGUGAACUUCUGUGCUUUUACUUAAAUGUUUGUACAGGAUUUUGCUUCCAGGACUGUUUUUUUUUUUUUGCGGCAGGAAAUUCAUUGGUGUGUUAAGCGAGAAUGAACUGAGAUCAACUGGUUUUGAUGUAUGAAUUAAUAAUUUAAAGUUAAACUUUGCAGUGUAUAGUGUUCUAAUAAAAAAGCUAUGGCAAACACGUGCAUGAAAACAAGGUUUCAGUCAUUUACAUCAGUCUAUUGUUCUUUAGGGUUUCUCAAUUCCAUGUAAACAUAAUUUGCUAUGUACUAAGCAGGCAUGAAGUCCAUCUAAUUAAUAAAUUCUUAAUUUAGCUGUGACAAUUUUUUGUAAUAGGCCUAUUUAAAUGACCAAUGAUUUUAGAAAGAAAGUGUUUAAAGAUAAGUUUUUUAUAUAGAAAUGGGAGACUACAUUUAGGAUUAAUAGGUUUCAGUAAUGCAGUUCAGAAAUCAGAUACGACCUAGUUACUUCCUUGCGAAAAGUAAUUUUUAUUGGUAAGAUUGACCAUUUUAAAAAGUAAGGUUUUAUUGUUGUAAAAGUAUACAUAUAAUGUGUGUGUUUGAAUAUAUUAAUCAAGGUACAUCUACAUAACCAUGCUUCGCAUUAUAUUGUCGUUUCACUUACAAAAACCAGCGAGUAAUGUCGAGGUAACCUUAGUGUACUGAGGGUGUCAGCUGUUGAGGGAGUAAAUUAAACCAUUUAUUUCUAUUCUGUUCGUCGUAAUCCUCAAUUCUUUGUAUAUCUGUUUUCAUGAAAUUUUGUGGAAUUGAAACGAUAAACGCAAAAACACAAUUUAUAUUCGCUUUUUAAUAUAUAUUAAAAGUGUAUUCGUCUCAAGAUUCGUCUGAAUGGCUACUUCCGCAUUCCAAGCCUGCUCAAAGCGUCAUAAUUCUCUACAGCAAUAAGUUGUAAAAG